AUUGAACGCUGGCGGAAUGCUUUACACAUGCAAGUCGAACGGCAGCACGGACUUCGGUCUGGUGGCGAGUGGCGAACGGGUGAGUAAUACAUCGGAACGUGCCCAGUCGUGGGGGAUAACGUAGCGAAAGCUACGCUAAUACCGCAUACGAUCUAAGGAUGAAAGCGGGGGAUCGCAAGACCUCGCGCGAUUGGAGCGGCCGAUGGCAGAUUAGGUAGUAGGUAGGGUAAAGGCCUACCAAGCCGACGAUCUGUAGCUGGUCUGAGAGGAUGAUCAGCCACACUGGGACUGAGACACGGCCCAGACUCCUACGGGAGGCAGCAGUGGGGAAUUUUGGACAAUGGGCGCAAGCCUGAUCCAGCCAUUCCGCGUGCAGGAUGAAGGCCUUCAGGUUGUAAACUGCUUUUGUACAGAACGAAAAGGCUCUGGUUAAUACCCGGGGCUCAUGACGGUACUGUAAGAAUAAGCACCGGCUAACUACGUGCCAGCAGCCGCAGUAA
rnacentral:rRNA from 1 species